AAACUUACCUGGACGGGGUCUAUGUUUGAUCAUUAAGGAUCAUGUCCUAGGUUAGUGACCUCCAUUGCACAUAAAGGAGGGGUGCAAACCUAAGGUCUUCCCAAGUGGAAGAGCCUACGUCAUUAUUUGUUGCUAUGGGGGCUUCGGCCCCUG